rnacentral:rRNA from 1 species
UGCAGUCGAACGGCAGCACGGGGGCAACCCUGGUGGCGAGUGGCGAACGGGUGAGUAAUAUAUCGGAACGUACCCGGAAAUGGGGGAUAACGUAGCGAAAGUUACGCUAAUACCGCAUAUGCCCUGAGGGGGAAAGCGGGGGAUUCGCAAGAACCUCGCGUUUUCGGAGCGGCCGAUAUCGGAUUAGCUAGUAGGUGAGGUAAAGGCUCACCUAGGCGACGAUCCGUAGCUGGUCUGAGAGGACGACCAGCCACACUGGAACUGAGACACGGUCCAGACUCCUACGGGAGGCAGCAGUGGGGAAUUUUGGACAAUGGGCGCAAGCCUGAUCCAGCCAUGCCGCGUGAGUGAAGAAGGCCUUCGGGUUGUAAAGCUCUUUCAGCCGGAAAGAAAACGCACGGGUUAAUAACCUGUGUGGAUGACGGUACCGGAAGAAGAAGCACCGGCUAACUACGUGCCAGCAGCCGCGGUAAUACGUAGGGUGCGAGCGUUAAUCGGAAUUACUGGGCGUAAAGCGUGCGCAGGCGGUUUUGUAAGACAGAUGUGAAAUCCCCGGGCUUAACCUGGGAACUGCAUUUGUGACUGCAAGGCUAGAGUACGGCAGAGGGGGGUAGAAUUCCACGUGUAGCAGUGAAAUGCGUAGAUAUGUGGAGGAAUACCGAUGGCGAAGGCAGCCCCCUGGGUCGAUACUGACGCUCAUGCACGAAAGCGUGGGGAGCAAACAGGAUUAGAUACCCUGGUAGUCCACGCCCUAAACGAUGUCAACUAGGUGUUGGGGGAGGAGACUUCCUUAGUACCGCAGCUAACGCGUGAAGUUGACCGCCUGGGGAGUACGG